UUAUGGAAAUUGGUUUUUAAUAGGUCGAUGAGGUGCUUUAAUUAAUUGCUCUUGAAUAUAUUGCGCAUAUAUUGGAACGCCUGGGGUGGUGUCUACCUGAAUUUCGGCAGCCCUUCAGUUGGGUGGCGAGUAUCUAGCCCAGGGUACGGUUCAUUUUGUAAUGAUUUAAUUAAAUUUUAAAUAUCCGGAACUCUCCGAAUUCUAUUUGACACUCAAUGCUUUUGCGGAUGUAAUUGGAGAUUUUUUAAGUGGCCUGUGUUCGGAGGGAAAGUUCGAAACAUUUCGGGAUGCAGUAUAUUCUGUGUGGAAUAGAUGUAUCUAUUUCAAGAUGGUCCUUCUUCCAAUACUUGAAUGGAGAUGACACAGUCAUCGGCUCAGGGAAAGGACGAUAACUAGCACUAUGGUAGGACGAUCCAAGAAGGACUUCGUUCACUGGAAAAUAAAGCGAGCAAUGGUGGUCUCUUUUGCUACGACCCCCAAAUUCACUUGGAGAAAGGCCCUUGGGAUGUUAACACCAAAGUACUAGUCAUCAGCGAUGUCGUCUCCUAGGAGUUGAGGAGCAGAUGUACGUUCGAAUCAAAAAAUCCAAUGGGAGUAAAUGCACAGGUGAUAUAUUUAUGGAGUGUCCGUAUUUCGUUCCGUGAAUUUCCCACGGUGUUCAACCUGUCUGUCUCGUGGAGGGGGAAAUCAAGGAUCAUAGAAGACGGAGGACUUAACAAGAGCUACCUUUCGCUGGAGGGAAUUCUUAUAUAAAAUUGCGAAUUCCAUUAUGGAAUUUGGAAAAUAUUUCGACGGUCAAAUGUUUGUUGAAAAAUAUUAGUUGAAGGAUAUGAGCUCGAUUUG